rnacentral:rRNA from 1 species
UACGGAGGGUGCAAGCGUUACUCGGAAUCACUGGGCGUAAAGGACGCGUAGGCGGAUUAUCAAGUCUCUUGUGAAAUCUAACGGCUUAACCGUUAAACUGCUUGGGAAACUGAUAAUCUAGAGUAAGGGAGAGGCAGAUGGAAUUCUUGGUGUAGGGGUAAAAUCCGUAGAUAUCAAGAAGAAUACCUAUUGCGAAGGCGAUCUGCUGGAACUUAACUGACGCUAAUGCGUGAAGCGUGGGGAGCAACAGGAUUAGAUA